UUUAGAACUCAAGAUAUGGGCUGAACCCCGCAUAAUGUCUGGGCUGCAGGACAGAUUCAGACUUUUCUUUUGUUGCUAAGAUUUGAACUUAAAAACAACAGUAGUGAAUCUUGGACUUUUCAUGAAUGUUUUAGAUCUAAGUCUUAGCUUUCCAUC
rfam:Populus trichocarpa scaffold_2_contig_149, whole genome shotgun sequence.